CCAGCAGCCGCGGUAAUUCCAGCUCCAAUAGCGUAUAUUUAAGUUGUUGCAGUUAAAAAGCUCGUAGUUGGAUUUCGGGUGGGGUGGUGCGGUCCGCCUCUGGUGUGCACUGCUCCGCUCCACCUUCCUGCCGGGGACGUGUUCCUGGGCUUUACUGUCCGGGACACGGAGUCGGCGAGGUUACUUUGAGUAAAUUAGAGUGUUCAAAGCAGGCCUACGCUCUGAAUACAUUAGCAUGGAAUAACACGAUAGGACUCUGGCCUAUCUUGUUGGUCUGUAGGACCGGAGUAAUGAUUAAGAGGGACAGUCGGGGGCAUUCGUAUUUCAUUGUCAGAGGUGAAAUUCUUGGAUUUAUGAAAGACGAACUACUGCGAAAGCAUUUGCCAAGGAUGUUUUAA
rnacentral:rRNA from 1 species